rnacentral:rRNA from 1 species
UACGUAGGAUGCAAGCGUUGUUCGGAAUUACUGGGCGUAAAGGGCGCGUAGGCGGCCUUCUAAGUCGAACGUGAAAUCCCCGGGCUCAACCCGGGAACUGCGUCCGAUACUGGGAGGCUUGAAUCCGGGAGAGGGAUGUGGAAUUCCAGGUGUAGCGGUGAAAUGCGUAGAUAUCUGGAGGAACACCGGUGGCGAAGGCGGGUCUCUGGGCAACAACUGACGCUGAGGAGCGAAAGCGUGGGGAGCGAACAGG